AUACGUAGGUGACAAGCGUUAUCCGGAUUUACUGGGCGUAAAGGGCGUGUAGGCGGUCUUGCAAGUCAGAAGUGAAAUUCUUGGGCUCAACUCGGGCGCUGCUUCUGAAACUGCAGGACUUGAGUGCUGGAGGGGAUAGCGGAAUUCCUAGUGGAGCGGUAAAAUGCGCAGAUAUUAGGAAGAACACCGGUGGCUAAGGCGGCUAUCUGGACAGUAACUGACGCUGAGGCGCGAAAGCCAGGGGAGCAAACGGGAUUAGAUACCCCGGUAGUCCUGGCCGUAAACGAUGAAUGCUAGGUGUGUGUGUAGAGAUACAUGCGUGCCGGAGUUAACGCGAUAAGCAUUCCGCCUGGGGAGUACGGUCGCAAGAUUGAAACUCAAAUGAAUUGGCGGGG
rnacentral:rRNA from 1 species